CAUCUGAAAGAGAUUAAAGAUUUAUCGGUGAUGGAUGGGGAUGCGUCUGAUUAGCUUGUUGGCGGGGUAACGGCCCACCAAGGCGACGAUCAGUAGGGGUUCUGAGAGGAAGGUCCCCCACAUUGGAACUGAGACACGGUCCAAACUCCUACGGGAGGCAGCAGUGAGGAAUAUUGGUCAAUGGACGAGAGUCUGAACCAGCCAAGUAGCGUGCAGGAAGACGGCCCUAUGGGUUGUAAACUGCUUUUAUAAGGGAAUAAAGUGAGUCUCGUGAGACUUUUUGCAUGUACCUUAUGAAUAAGGACCGGCUAAUUCCGUGCCAGCAGCCGCGGUAAUACGGAAGGUCCGGGCGUUAUCCGGAUUUAUUGGGUUUAAAGGGAGCGUAGGCCGGAGAUUAAGCGUGUUGUGAAAUGUAGACGCUCAACGUCUGCACUGCAGCGCGAACUGGUUUCCUUGAGUACGCACAAAGUGGGCGGAAUUCGUGGUGUAGCGGUGAAAUGCUUAGAUAUCACGAAGAACUCCGAUUGCGAAGGCAGCUCACUGGAGCGCAACUGACGCUGAAGCUCGAAAGUGCGGGUAUCGAACAGGAUUAGAUACCCUGGUAGUCCGCACGGUAAACGAUGGAUGCCCGCUGUUGGUCUGAAUAGGUCAGCGGCCAAGCGAAAGCAUUAAGCAUCCCACCUGGGGAGU
rnacentral:rRNA from 1 species